AUCAUGGUGGCGAUGUCGAGGGCUGUCCAAAACCUGCAGGUGAAGUGGAGCUAUUGGCAGAUAGCUUCAUGGAGACAGAAAGAAACCAAGUAAAUCCAAACAAGUAGUGAGUUAGAAGGGUCUAUUACCUUUCUUAAUCACGUACACGGAUAUUUAUAGAAUCUUUACAUGUUCUGCUUUCACAAACCAAAGCAGUAGGUCUUAGCUUGUUGAACAUAAACUUUCCUCAAUUGAAAGGCAUCUCGGCUCCAGACUGAAAACUUGCUGUUUUGUUUUCCUACACCUCACUGCAGCAGCAGCAGCCAAGAAAAACCUUCAUACUGUGAAAAACCCUUCAGUCCCUGAAGGCAGUGUGCCUGAGAAAAGAGCAACAUAACAGAAAGACAAACUGAGAGCUGGGGCGACCAUGGGGAAGCCAGGAGGGUGCCAGGAGAAUAGUGACAACUUGAAAGUAAGGCAGAAAUGUUGCCUGGCUGAAGACGUCAAACCUCAAAAGCAGAAUCCCAGGAAGAUCGAGG